rnacentral:ncRNA from 2 species
AUCCCGCCGCGUGCCAAAGGUGCCCGCGCUGAUCCGCGGGAUAAUAGGGAAUCGGGUGUAACUCCCGAACUGUCCCCGCAACUGUAAGCGCCGAGCUUUGCAACAGAUGUCACUGGUCCGCCGGGAAGACGUUGCGAGCGUCAGAGGCGCGAGUCAGGAGACCUGCCUUGGCUGUCGUCCUUUG